AACCUAGCACACCUGCGGUGUGUACCUGCGGAAGGAUCAUUACACAAUACAAUAUGAAGGCUGUCCGCAGCUGGAGUAUUUUAUUACCCUUGUCUUUUGCGCACUUGUUGUUUCCUGGGCGGGUUCGCUCGCCACCAGGACCACCAAAUAAACCUUUUUUAUGCAGUUGCAAUCAGCGUCAGUACAAACAAUGUAAAUCAUUUACAACUUUCAACAACGGAUCUCAGAUCGGAAGAGCAC
rnacentral:misc_RNA from 1 species